ACACGGUGGAUGCCCUGGCAGUCAGAGGCGAUGAAGGGCGUGCUAAUCUGCGAUAAGCGCCGGUAAGGUGAUAUGAACCGUUAUAACCGGCGAUACCCGAAUGGGGAAACCCAGUGUGACUCGUCACACUAUCAUUAACUGAAUCCAUAGGUUAAUGAGGCGAACCGGGGGAACUGAAACAUCUAAGUACCCCGAGGAAAAGAAAUCAACCGAGAUUCCCCCAGUAGCGGCGAGCGAACGGGGAGGAGCCCAGAGCCUGAAUCAGCAUGUGUGUUAGUGGAAGCGUCUGGAAAGGCGCGCGAUACAGGGUGACAGCCCCGUACACAAAAGCGCAUGUGCUGUGAGCUCGAUGAGUAGGGCGGGACACGUGGUAUCCUGUCUGAAUAUGGGGGGACCAUCCUCCAAGGCUAAAUACUCCUGACUGACCGAUAGUGAACCAGUACCGUGAGGGAAAGGCGAAAAGAACCCCGGCGAGGGGAGUGAAAAAGAACCUGAAACCGU
rnacentral:rRNA from 1 species